UGAAACUCUAUUCCACAAAAUCCCACCCAAAUUGACUCGUUAUGACUAUUCAUUUCAAUUCUUCAAACAAAAAACUCUUUUUAGUCUCCCUCCAAAAAGUUGUCAAUAUUCAUCCACAACUUUAGAACUGAAGCAAAAUACAAUCAGUGAGUAGGAAAGUGGUAGACAAGGGAAGGAAGAAGAGAAGUCAAAAUAUACUUAGGAAAAGGAAGAACUACCUAUUGAAGGAGAAAGUCUUGGAGGCCUAAUAUCUAUAAAGACUUGAGGAAAGUUAGGACCAAACAAUGAAGCUAAAGAUGAUGGAGUCCGAAGCAAUGACACCCAAUCGCAUCUACGUAAACCCUACAGAUGACAUGAAGGAGAUCGAGAUUGGAGAAAUGCUAGCUUAGGAGUUGUUUAAUUUGGCUACCAAAUGUCAUAGAGGAUUCUAAAGAUUGAAGAUACUUUGCAUACCAAGGCCAAAGCAUCAUCCAGCAAGCCCAAAUCAACGAACAAAGGGAAAAAAUCACUACAGGAAACAAAGGUUGCAAAUCUAAAAUCAAACGACAAAAAUUCUGAAUAUGAAUGUGAAAAAGAAAGGGAUGACGACAAAGAUGCCGAAGAAGAUGUUUCCGAUGAAAACGAUGAUGAAGGCAUAGAUGAGGGAGCAUCUGGAGUCAAGCAAUUUAGGAUUCCUAAUUUAAAAUGAAAUAAAUUGUUUCUGAUCAUUGUAACAUUACCUAAACAAGUUGUAACUCCUUAUUAAUUGCUUGUACAAAUUCACAAUAUAAGUGUGAUAAAUUUAGCAGCUGUUUCUGUGGGUUUCAUG